rnacentral:lncRNA from 1 species
GUCAACUUCAGAUGUGAGGAAAAUGUGAUUUGAUUACAGACAGGGUACUCAUUUUAUGACAUAAUUGCAUAGUACAUAGCGGUUCCCAGAGAAAGUCCUUCUUUAUUAGCCUAAGGAUCAGCUGGCAGAGAAAGGAGAAGCAGCUGGACACUGGAGACUACAGUUGGGUGUCAGAGAGAAGUGGCUUGACUUCAGAGGGACAGCUUGACAGCAUAGCUUCAGAGAGGAGUCUGGCCAGGAAGAUUAUUUUCCCUCUCUGUCCCCUUUUCAGCUUCCCUUCCCACUGAGAGCCACUUUUAUCAGCAAUAAAAUUUCCUGUAUUUACCAUAUUAAAUUAAUUUGUGUGACCUCAUUUCUCCUGGAUGCUGGACAAGAACUUGGGUGCCACAAGUAUGGGUGCAAAAGGCUGUGUGAUGGUUAAUACUGAGUGGCAACUUGAUUGAAUUGAAAGAUACAAAGUAUUAAUCCUGGGUGUGUCUGUGAGUGUGUUG